rnacentral:rRNA from 1 species
AAGGCUGAUGGCGACCGGCGCACGGGUGAGUAACACGUAUCCAACCUGCCGUCUACUCUUGGCCAGCCUUCUGAAAGGAAGAUUAAUCCAGGAUGGCAUCAUGAGUUCACAUGUCCGCAUGAUUAAAGGUAUUUUCCGGUAGACGAUGGGGAUGCGUUCCAUUAGAUAGUAGGCGGGGUAACGGCCCACCUAGUCAACGAUGGAUAGGGGUUCUGAGAGGAAGGUCCCCCACAUUGGAACUGAGACACGGUCCAAACUCCUACGGGAGGCAGCAGUGAGGAAUAUUGGUCAAUGGGCGAUGGCCUGAACCAGCCAAGUAGCGUGAAGGAUGACUGCCCUAUGGGUUGUAAACUUCUUUUAUAAAGGAAUAAAGUCGGGUAUGCAUACCCGUUUGCAUGUACUUUAUGAAUAAGGAUCGGCUAACUCCGUGCCAGCAGCCGCGGUAAUACGGAGGAUCCGAGCGUUAUCCGGAUUUAUUGGGUUUAAAGGGAGCGUAGAUGGAUGUUUAAGUCAGUUGUGAAAGUUUGCGGCUCAACCGUAAAAUUGCAGUUGAUACUGGAUGUCUUGAGUGCAGUUGAGGCAGGCGGAAUUCGUGGUGUAGCGGUGAAAUGCUUAGGUAUCACGAAGAACUCCGAUUGCGA